rnacentral:rRNA from 1 species
GACGAACGCUGGCGGCGUGCUUAACACAUGCAAGUCGAGCGGUAAGGCCCUUUCGGGGGUACACGAGCGGCGAACGGGUGAGUAACACGUGGGUGACCUGCCCUCAGCUCUGGGAUAAGCCUGGGAAACUGGGUCUAAUACCGGAUAUGACUCCAUGACGCAUGUUGUGGGGUGGAAAGCCUUGUGCGGCUGAGGAUGGGCCCGCGGCCUAUCAGCUUGUUGGUGGGGUGANGGCCUACCAAGGCGACGACGGGUAGCCUGCCUGAGAGGGUGUUCGGCCACACUGGGACUGAGACACGGCCCAGACUCCUACGGGAGGCAGCAGUGGGGAAUAUUGCGCAAUGGGCGUAAGCCUGACGCAGCGACGCCGCGU